rnacentral:rRNA from 1 species
AGAGUUUGAUUCSGGCUCAGAUUGAACGCUGGCGGAAUGCUUUACACAUGCAAGUCGAACGGCAGCACGGGGGCAACCCUGGUGGCGAGUGGCGAACGGGUGAGUAAUACAUCGGAACGUGCCCAGUCGUGGGGGAUAACUACGCGAAAGCGUAGCUAAUACCGCAUACGAACUGAGGUUGAAAGCGGGGGACCGUAAGGCCUCGCGCGAUUGGAGCGGCCGAUGGCAGAUUAGGUAGUUGGUGGGGUAAAGGCCUACCAAGCCGACGAUCUGUAGCUGGUCUGAGAGGACGACCAGCCACACUGGGACUGAGACACGGCCCAGACUCCUACGGGAGGCAGCAGUGGGGAAUUUUGGACAAUGGGCGCAAGCCUGAUCCAGCCAUUCCGCGUGCAGGAUGAAGGCCCUCGGGUUGUAAACUGCUUUUGUACGGAACGAAACGCGCCGGGCUAAUACCCUGGCGUAAUGACGGUACCGUAAGAAUAAGCACCGGCUAACUACGUGCCAGCAGCCGCGGUAAUACGUAGGGUGCGAGCGUUAAUCGGAAUUACUGGGCGUAAAGCGUGCGCAGGCGGUGAUGUAAGACAGAUGUGAAAUCCCCGGGCUCAACCUGGGAACUGCAUUUGUGACUGCAUCGCUGGAGUGCGGCAGAGGGGGAUGGAAUUCCGCGUGUAGCAGUGAAAUGCGUAGAUAUGCGGAGGAACACCGAUGGCGAGGCAAUCCCCUGGGCCUGCACUGACGCUCAUGCACGAAAGCUGGAGCAACAGAUUAGAUACCCUGGUAGUCCACGCCCUAAACGAUGUCAACUGGUUGUUGGUCCUUCACUGGAUCAGUAACGAAGCUAACGCGUGAAGUUGACCGCCUGGGGAGUACGGCCGCAAGGUUGAAACUCAAAGGAAUGACGGGACCCGCACAAGCGGUGGAUGAUGUGGUUUAAUUCGAUGCAACGCGAAAACCUUACCCACCUUUGACAUGUCUGGAAUCCCGCAGAGAUGUGGGAGUGCCCGAAAGGGAGCCAGAACACAGGUGCUGCAUGGCUGUCGUCAGCUCGUGUCGUGAGAUGUUGGGUUAAGUCCCGCAACGAGCGCAACCCUUGUCAUUAGUUGCUACGAAAGGGCACUCUAAUGAGACUGCCGGUGACAAACCGGAGGAAGGUGGGGAUGACGUCAAGUCCUCAUGGCCCUUAUAGGUGGGGCUACACACGUCAUACAAUGGCUGGUACAGAGGGUUGCCAACCCGCGAGGGGGAGCUAAUCCCAUAAAACCAGUCGUAGUCCGGAUCGCAGUCUGCAACUCGACUGCGUGAAGUCGGAAUCGCUAGUAAUCGCGGAUCAGAAUGUCGCGGUGAAUACGUUCCCGGGUCUUGUACACACCGCCCGU